AAAUUCCUUGUCGGGUAAGUUCCGACCUGCACGAAUGGCAUAAUGAUGGCGGCGCUGUCUCCAGCAGAGACUCAGUGAAAUCGAAAUCGCAGUGAAGAUGCUGUGUACCCGCGGCUAGACGGAAAGACCCCGUGAACCUUUACUACAGCUUUACAUUGAACUUUGACCUUACCUGUGUAGGAUAGGUGGGAGGCUUUGAAGCAGGCACGCUAGUGUCUGUGGAGCCAUCCUUGAAAUACCACCCUGGUAAUGUUGGGGUUCUAACUCAAGCUUAACAGAGCUGAGGACAAUGUAUGGUGGGUAGUUUGACUGGGGCGGUCUCCUCCUAA
rnacentral:rRNA from 1 species